AAGCAAGGAAAGCUUUCAUGGCAUCAUUAAAUAUAAACACUAGAGCAUAAACUGCAGAUAGUAUUAUUGAGACUAAAAGAAGUAAAGAACAAAAGUCUACAAUACAUCCCGUCUUAUCUACCUUUACAGCCCCUGAGUCACAAUUUACCAAGAAAUUUAAAGGGCAAACGUCUAACCACAGAAAAUAAUAAUAAUAAUAAU
rnacentral:misc_RNA from 1 species